GUGUCAGCAGCCGCGGUAAUACAGAGGUCUCAAGCGUUGUUCGGAUUCAUUGGGCGUAAAGGGUGCGUAGGCGGUAAGCUAAGUUUGGUGUGAAAUCCUGGGGCUCAACCCCAGAAUUGCACUGAAUACUGGUUUGCUAGAGGACUGGAGAGGAGAUUGGAAUUCACGGUGUAGCAGUGAAAUGCGUAGAUAUCGUGAGGAAGACCAGUGGCGAAGGCGAAUCUCUGGACAGUUCCUGACGCUGAGGCACGAAGGCUAGGGGAGCAAACGGGAUUAGAUACCCCCGUAGUCC
rnacentral:rRNA from 1 species